UUGCUGUCUGUAUCGGACACCUGUUAUUUCGUUUGUUUGCCACGGACCCUGCCACCGCUUUGACCUGUGUGUUUUGGUAGCUGACCCAUCGGCAGAAAGAGAGAGGCGUUGAUCUGUCUCCCUUGGUAGUUGAUCCAUAGACUGAGAGACUGAGAGAGAGAGAGAGAGAGAGAGAGAGGAGUUUGAUCCACAGAGAAACAGAGAGAUAGAGAGAGGGCGAAGAGUUUGCAUGAUCGAGCCCGGAGUUCAGUAGCCUGGAGAUUUGACGAUUUUUGUCUCACGGAUAUAGGUCGUGGCUUGCUAAUCAGUUUUGGUUCUGCUUCUUUAACAUCCCUGUUUGAUAUCUUCAAGAUUUAUUCACAUGUCAAUGAUUUGCUGUGGAUAAGAAGGAAAGAGGGACUGUGAUAGAGGUCGAAAGAGACUCUGAGAGCGAAGAGGCUCUUUUGCUUUAACCAAAACACUCCAAUAGCUCAAGUGAAACUCGCCUGCAGUCUAUUUGUUCUUUUGAUUUGACGAUGAAGGUCUCUAAUCUGACGAUCCGUACUAUAGCAUUUAAAAGGUAAUCCCCAUCUUAAAGUUUCCUCGCCGAUGCUUGAUUAGAAACUUGAAAAACAAACACAUUCAUCAGAAGCUUGGUUGAGACGGAGGGACGAGAAGAUCGAGGAGGACGAAGAUGGAACUGGGUCUUAAGAUACUCCAAAAUGGUCCAAGUGAGGGAUAGAAGAGGGGGGAAGAUCUCGGCGAGAAUAGACCGGGUGGAAGGUAAUUGUGAGAAUUGGAUUUGUGGUUUUGUUCUUGAUUGUUUUGAAUAGUUUUGUGUUUUUUUUCUUCUUUUGUUAAAUGUUUUGUGGCUUUGAUUCC